rnacentral:rRNA from 1 species
GCCAGACUCCUACGGGAGGCAGCAGUGAGGAAUAUUGGUCAAUGGGCGCGAGCCUGAACCAGCCAAGUCGCGUGAGGGAUGACGGCCCUACGGGUUGUAAACCUCUUUUGUCGGGGAGCAAAUUCCGUUACGUGUAACGGAGUCGAGAGUACCCGAAGAAAAAGCAUCGGCUAACUCCGUGCCAGCAGCCGCGGUAAUACGGAGGAUGCGAGCGUUAUCCGGAUUUACUGGGUGUAAAGGGAGCGUAGACGGCAGCACAAGUCUGGAGUGAAAUGCCGGGGCUUAACCCCGGAACUGCUUUGGAAACUGUGCAGCUAGAGUGCAGGAGAGGUAAGUGGAAUUCCUAGUGUAGCGGUGAAAUGCGUAGAUAUUAGGAGGAGCACCAGUGGCGAAGGCGGCUUACUGGACUGUAACUGACGUUGAGGCUCGAAAGCGUGGGGAGCAAACAGGAUUAGAUACCCCGGUA